AGAUAUAAAAAUUAAUAAUUAAUAACAUUAUAAUUAUUUUAAAUGUUUUUAUUAUAAUUAAUGCAUUGCCUUAAGAUUUGGUUCCCAAAAUGGGCUUGAUGUUGAAAAUAAUCCACAUGAUGCGGAGUUUGUCGAUCCAAAGUCCCCCAUAGAUAUUGGUUCCCAAAAUUGGCUUGAUGAAAAUAAUUCACAUGAUGCGGAGUUUGUCGAUCCAAAGUCCCCCAUAGAUAUUGGUUCCCAAAAUUGGCUUGAUGAUGAAAAUAAUCCACACAAUGCAGAGUUUGUCGAUCCAAAGUCUCCCAUAGCAGCACAUCUGGAUGAAGAUCAAGGUAGUGGUUCCCAAAAUGUUGGGCUUGAAGAUAAUUCAACUUGACUUAUCAAUCCAAAGACUCACAUAG